rnacentral:tRNA from 1 species
UUCGUAGUUUUAUAUGAAUAAAAUAGUUGUUUGUGGAUCAGCAGAAUUGAAGCUUA